GGAAUAGACACACGCUGCACAUUUCCUGCAUGCUGGGCUCUGUAAGGAGGAAGGGAGAGGCCCCUGCUUGGAGAAGCUUUCCAUCCAACAGAUGUGGAUGCUACCUAUGCCACCAGUGUCAAACAUAACUUCAGGAUCACAGAAGAGGCCGAGAGUGCUAAAAGGUCACGCUGGAAUGAAGCAUAUGAGGUGAGAACAUAGCAAGAAGCUACCAUCUGUGCACCAGGAAAUGGGCCCUCACAAGACAUCAAAUCUGCCAGCCACCUCAAUGGUGGGCUUUCCAGCCUCCAGAACUGUGAGAAAUAAAUUUCUGUUUUUAUAAGCCACCUGGUUUAUGGUAUUUUGUUACAGCAACCUAAACAGACUAAG
rnacentral:lncRNA from 10 species